GAGCGGCUGAUUCGGAUUCCCGCUCACGGCCACCGUCGCUGCUGAAGCGGCGGCUCGCUGGCUGGUCCUCCUCUACAUCGACUCAGCCCGAACAAGCUCGAGCGAGCGCUACGAGGAGGAGAUGACAGUGCGAGCCGAGGCUCUAGUCAACUCCGGCAGGCGGCUGGUACAGAGGUACGAGCAGGAGAAGAGCCGUCUCGCCGACGGGCUGCUCCACCCACGCUUGCACGGAUGGCCGGAUGACGUCGCGGUCACCGAACGGCCAAACCACCAACCCGACGGACGACCCCCACCCGACCGCCAGCCCACGGGUACCCCCACCGAGUAAAUGACCCAACACGCAUCAUCCUGACACACUGACCAAAUAACUUACAGACCGAUAAUUCGCCACCCCAUCCUAUGACCCAAUAAAAUACUUUCGCAACAAUAUAUAUGAACCCGACACCCGACUUGCCCACCCUCUGACUCUAUAAGACACCGAGGCCAAUACAAUACACCGACUUGGUGAAACUCUGACCCAUCAAUCGACUCAUUUGACUUCGAGCCUAUCCACUGGAUCACCAGCUGACCUACUGAUCCAAUAAACACUCAAACCUGGUAACUUACUGACAAAAUACUGAUCCACCAAAUGACCCUAUAACCUUGCCAGCUAGGCUCAGACUCACGACCAGCUGAUCUAAUAAUCCAAAAACCCACUGUCCCACCAGGCUAUCCCCGCUAUGAAGGAGGGACCGGUAUUAUAAAUUAAUGUUGUGUUUUUGUUCCGCGUUUAGGCACCACUGCCAUUACUUGGCCAUAAACGUGUUUAAGCCCAGGAGUGUCUGUGCACUCAUCUUUCCCAAAUGGAAGCUGCUCGUGGUGGAGGCAACAUGUCACGUCUGGCAACGCAAAACUAGUUUAGCACCGAUGGAUUUGACUUAAACCACUCGUGCACAAGACCAGUUGAAAAAUUAUCCUGACAUUUUUAUAAAUUAAUAGUCACCGUGAGGAGGGUAGUUCCUUAAACAGCAUGCUCGAAGUGGUCGAGUGGCACGGACGUAUGUUCUCCUGUACGUGCAUUCCACGUAGUUAUGUUCUCCUGUAAACGAGGGCUACUCCUCGGAAAAUGUGCACAACGCACGCUGCGCUCCCACGGUUUCAUCUUUACAUGUCACAGCGAUCUGCAGGUUCUGCGCUUGUUUAGCUUGAGGCUGUAGUCAUCGCCGCGAUGCCGCGAGGGAGUCUGCUGAGUGAGCUCCUGCGGCCCGUUAUCAAUCGAAGGCUCGCGUUGCCGAGCCACGUGUCGCCAGGCUCGAUCGGAACACGACGGUGGCUGGGAGGGCUCGGCGGGUUGUUUAAAGUUCUUGGGAGACACCGCAAUGGGGGAUCAACGUAGGCUCGGAAUGAACUUAGCAAAAUUAUAUGACUUGAGAGAGAAGGCUGCAGAUGUGUGCGUCGUUGUCUCGUUACCAGCUUUUGUUGAACACUUGGGUGUCAUGUGGAGCAUUUCAUAAUUCUCGCGACAGACUGCAAAGGCUGAAGUGGAAUUCCUCACACAUCCGACACGACACAAUAUACGCACAGACACACGUAAACUUUACCCCCUGUAUUUCCAAUAUUCCUAUAACCGUGCUCGAUUCAAGACACUUAUUAUCUCUUUAUCGGUGACACCUUUAAUAGUCAUGUUUUUUGCUGGCUGUUUUGUGUGUGUGGGUCUUUGGGGCUGUCUGAUGAACAAAAAUAAAAUUAGUUCCUUGGGUGUU